rnacentral:rRNA from 1 species
UACAGAGGUCCCAAGCGUUGUUCGGAUUCACUGGGCGUAAAGGGUGCGUAGGUGGUGAGGUAAGUCGGAUGUGAAAUCUCCGAGCUCAACUCGGAAAUGGCAUUGGAAACUACCUUGCUCGAGGGUUGGAGGGGGGACUGGAAUGCUUGGUGUAGCAGUGAAAUGCGUAGAUAUCAAGCGGAACACCAGUGGCGAAGGCGAGUCCCUGGACAGUUACCGACGCUGAGGCACGAAGGUCAGGGGAGCAAACGGGAUAGA